UUGGGCACUCUAAUGAGACUGCCGGUGACAAGCCGGAGGAAGUGGGGAUGACGUCAAGUCCUCAUGGCCCUUAUAGGUGGGGCUACACACGUCAUACAAUGGCUGGUACAAAGGGUUGCCAACCCGCGAGGGGGAGCUAAUCCCAUAAAGCCAGUCGUAGUCCGGAUCGUAGUCUGCAACUCGACUACGUGAAGUCGGAAUCGCUAGUAAUCGUGGAUCAGAAUGUCACGGUGAAUACGUUCCCGGGUCUU
rnacentral:rRNA from 1 species